AGUGAACGCUGGCGGUAGGCCUAACACAUGCAAGUCGAACGGCAGCACAGUAAGAGCUUGCUCUUACGGGUGGCGAGUGGCGGACGGGUGAGGAAUACAUCCGAAUCUACUUUUUCGUGGGGGAUAACGUAGGGAAACUUACGCUAAUACCGCAUACGACCUACGGGUGAAAGCAUGGGAUCUUCGGACCUUGCGCGAGUGAAUGAGCCGAUGUCGGAUUAGCUAGUUGGCGGGGUAAAGGCCCACCAAGGCGACGAUCCGUAGCUGGUCUGAGAGGAUGAUCAGCCACACUGGAACUGAGACACGGUCCAGACUCCUACGGGAGGCAGCAGUGGGGAAUAUUGGACAAUGGGCGCAAGCCUGAUCCAGCCAUACCGCGUGGGUGAAGAAGGCCUUCGGGUUGUAAAGCCCUUUUGUUGGGAAAGAAAAGCAGCAGGUUAAUACCCCGCUGUUCUGACGGUACCCAAAGAAUAAGCACCGGCUAACUUCGUG
rnacentral:rRNA from 1 species